CUCCACACCGCCUUGCAAGCUGAGGGAGCCGGCUCCGGCCUCUGCCAGCCCAGGAAGGGGCUCCCACAGUGCAGCGGCGGGCUGAAGGACUCCUCAAGUGCCACCAAAGUGGGAGCCCAGGCAGAGGAGGCGCCGAGAGCGAGCGAGGGCUGCCUGCCAGCACGCUGUCACGUCUCAGCAAUAGACUGCUCUUGAGGCUGGAGUGCAAUGUUGUUAUCAUAGCUCACUGCAACCUGGAACCCCUAGUCUCAAGAGAUCCUCCAGCCUCAGCCUCCCUGUUCCAGGAUACAUGUGCAGGAUGUGCAAGUUUGCUACAUGGGUAAAUAUGUGCCAUGGCAGUUUGCUGCAUCUAUUAACCCAUUACCUAGGUAUUAAGCCCGAUCCCAGAAAACCUGCAGAGAGAAGCAGCAGCUGGACCUCGGGAUGACUAUGGCUGGACGUCAGGAGAGAAGCAGUUUGACUUCAGAGGGACAGCUUGAUGGUGUAACUUCAGAGAAGAAUCUGGUUAGAGAUGGCUAGACUCCAGGAAAAGAUUACCUACCCUUCCCCUACCCUUUUCUCAGCUCCCCUUCCCACUGAGAGCCACUUUCACCGCAAUAAAAUCCCCCACAUGCACUAUCCUUC